rnacentral:rRNA from 1 species
AUGUCCCGUGCGCACCGCACGCCUCGCCGCUAUUACCGCGUCGAGCCUCCGCUGUCCCGGUCGAGUCUCAAGGGUAACGAAACCACACCACUCAACCCCCACUGCAGAGUACCACCGAUCAUCACCGACCGAUCAUCAACGAGAUGUACCUUGGGAAAUGGAUCCAGAAUCUCCUUCUGGCACGACUGGUGGUUGGACUGUGGAAGGCUGAAAUUCUCUUUCCCAAUUCUCUUCACCUUUGCACAAUCGCCUUAUUGCACUGUUGCCUCACAGUUCACUGAUGGACAAUGGAACCUCAAGCUACAUCCGAAUUUAACUAUGACAGCCAUAAGAGAAAUGGAGGCCUUACUGACGAUUCUAGUUGGAGUGCAUCCAUCUCUUUCUCACACUGAAACAGAUCAGAGAAACCCUUGUAUGAAAUCUGGAAAGGUCACCACUGCAUUCUUCUAUGAGCUGCUCACGUUCAGGGGGAUCCUUUGCCCAGCUGCUCCAAAGAUAUGGGACACUUUGAUACCCAACAGACAUCGGGUCUUCCUUUGGCUGGCUCUACGAGGUAGACUGAACACAAGAGAUAAUAUUCUCAAAAAAGGCUGGACGUCAAUCACAACACACAAUGGCCGCGACCUGUGCCCUGCAACCGAAAACAGUAGCCAUAUCAUCCUCAGAUGCAGGCUUGCUGAUGCUGUUUGGGAGCGGGCAGGCGUGCAAGACAAGGCAAGAAGCUCCAAUGAUCUCCAGGUUUUUCUACUCGCCACGGAACCCCCUGCAUAUGGCAACCUCUGGCAUAUUGUCUUUGCAGCCUGCGCCGUGUCUCUCUGGUCUGCCAGGAACGAGCAGGUCUUCCAGCACACAUGA